rnacentral:rRNA from 1 species
AGCUCCAAUAGCGUAUAUUAAAGUUGUUGCAGUUAAAAAGCUCGUAGUUGGAUUUCUGGUUUGAUCGACCGGUCCGUUCCGCAAGGGAUGUGUACUUGUGUCGUUUCAUUCCAUCCUUGGGAAGAACGUGUCUGGCAUUAGGUUGUCGGGUUCGGUAUUCUCAUCGUUUACUGUGAAAAAAUUAGAGUGUUCAAAGCAGGCUUACGCCGCUGAAUACAUUAGCAUGGAAUAAUAAGAUAGGACUUUGGUGUCUAUUUUGUUGGUUUGCGCGCCAAAGUAAUGAUUAAUAGGGAUAGUUGGGGGUAUUCGUAUUUAAUUGUCAGAGGUGAAAUUCUUGGAUUUAUGAAAGACGAACUACUGCGAAAGCAUUUACCAAGGAUGUUUUCAUUAAUCAAGAACG